rnacentral:tRNA from 1 species
AUUGUUUUGGCAGAAUAGUGCAAUAAAUUUAGAAUUUAUAUAUAUAAUUAAUUUAUAAACAAUA